AAGACUUUAAGUUAAAAAAACUAUUUGCCUUCAAAGCAAAAAAUAAUAAAAAUUAAGUCUUA
rnacentral:tRNA from 1 species